rnacentral:rRNA from 1 species
GACGAACCGUGCGAACGUUAUUCGGAAUCACUGGGCUUAAAGCGCGUGUAGGCGGGCCGGCACGUCCGAGGCUGAAAUCCCCCGGCUCAACCGGGGAACGGCCCGGAUACGACCGGCCUGGAGGGGGGGUAGGGGGAGCCGGAACUCACGGUGGAGCGGUGAAAUGCGUUGAGAUCGUGAGGAACGCCCGUGGCGAAAGCGGCUCUCUGGAACGGUACUGACGCUGAGACGCGAAAGCGUGGGGAGCGAACAGG